CUCAUCAAACAGAAACUGAAACAAGAGCAACAACAGGAAAUACUACAGUUGAACUCCAUCAGCCAAACACUCACCUGUCUUCUGUUGCUGGCGGUCUGGGUUCGGUUCUGCUGGUUCUGACUCUGUGUUCUGGAACGUUCCUCAUCCUGAAAAAGAGGAAAAGGAAAUGUGGGACAGCUUUAUUUCAGCAAAAUGUGCAGCACAAUACAGAGACUGACCGCAUGUAUGAAGAUAUUCCCAACAGUGAUGUCGCCGUGGUAACAUCUUCGUCCAAUCAGACGCCUGCAUCACACCUCGACAACCACCCAGAAGUCUCUGCUGUUUACGCCACAGUAACCAAACAGCAGCCCGAUUCAAACCCCGGUCACACCCACUCGACCAAUCAGGUGACAGAUUCAGACUGUGAUUAUUAUGCCAAUAUAAAGUCACCUGACCCAACACAGGACAGCG